rnacentral:misc_RNA from 1 species
AAUCAUCAAAAACCCUUUUCUGUGAUCAGUAAAAGGAUUUUUGGACUUGGAGGUUCCAUGCUUGCUUUCUCUUUUUGAAAGCAAGCUCCUCUGAAAUGAAUUAGUGGGGGUCUGCUUUGCUGAUCCUUGACGUGAUAAGAUGUUUCUACGUUUUGGACUUAAGCAUUGUACUUUGGGACACCUGCUCCUAACUGUCUCUUCGGACAAACAAUGGUGCUCCGGUCACCGCGAUCUACAUCGGCGGGGAGGCUGGACCCACAAUAAGA